rnacentral:rRNA from 1 species
CCUACGGGAGGCAGCAGUGGGGAAUAUUGCACAAUGGGCGAAAGCCUGAUGCAGCAACGCCGCGUGAGGGAUGAAGGCCUUCGGGUUGUAAACCUCUUUUAGCAGGGAAGAAGCGAAAGUGACGGUACCU